rnacentral:rRNA from 1 species
AAUGGGCGCAAGCCUGACGGAGCGACGCCGCGUGGACGAUGAAGGCCGUAAGGUUGUAAAGUCCUUUUCUCUGUGAGGAAUAAGGGUGGGAGUGGAAAGCCCGCCUGAUGACGGUAAUGGAGGAAUAAGCACCGGCUAACUACGUGCCAGCAGCCGCGGUAAUACGUAGGGUGCGAGCGUUGUUCGGAGUUAUUGGGCGUAAAGGGCGUGUAGGCGGCUUGAGAAGUCUGAUUUGAAAUGCACUGGCUCAACUGGUGCGCUGGGUCAGAAACUGGCAGGCUAGAGUUCAUGGGGAGGAACUGGAAUUCCAGGUGUAGGGGUGAAAUCUGUAGAGAUCUGGAAGAACACCGGUAGCGAAGGCGGGUUCCUAUGGAUGGACUGACGCUGAGGCGCGAAAGCGUGGGGAGCGAA